AUGACGAAGCUGUGCGCGGGCACGAAGGCGAGCAGUUGUGACGUUCAUCGGUACGGGGUAGUGGCGCGUGGAUCUGGCCGUCUCGGUGUGGGCAGAGUGGUCAAAUCCCUAUAUCCGAGCCGAUGCCAGCUCGAAGAGCGCCUCAUGGAGAGAGGUUGCCUCCGGCCGCCGGAUCCUUACCGAAUUUCAUCCUGGUCUUUAGGCUGA
rnacentral:rRNA from 1 species